rnacentral:rRNA from 1 species
CGCGUAGGCGGUGAUUUAAGUGAGGUGUGCAAAUCCCCCGGGCUUAACCUGGGAACUGCACCUCAGAACUGGGUCGCUAGAGUACUGGAGAGGGUGGUAGAAUUCCACGUGUAGCGGUGAAAUGCGUAGAGAUGUGGAGGAAUACCAGUGGCGAAGGCGGCCACCUGGACAGUAACUGACGCUGAGGCGCGAAAGCGUGGGUAGCAAACAGGAUUAGAUACCCUGGUAGUCCACGCUGUAAACGAUGAACACUUGGUGUGGUGGAGUUGACCCCGCGUGCCGUAGCUAACGCGAUAAGUGUUCCGCCUGGGGAGUACGGUCGCAAGGCUGAA